GAUUGUAAGGGCACCACAAGAACGCGUGGAGCAUGUGGCUUAAUUUGACUCAACGCGGGAAAUCUUACCGGGUCCGGACACACUGAGGAUUGACAGGCAAUAUUAAUACUUUGCUUCGGCAUUGUAUUAUGUUAAAUAUGCUAGUCCUUUCAUGAUUAUGUGAUAGGUGGUGCAUGGCCGUUCUUAGUUCGUGGAGUGAUCUGUCUGCUUAAUUGCGUUUCACUAAGGGCCUAUAAAUUUACGUAUGUUGUAUCGCACUUUGACCCCUUUCUUUAAUUAGAAAGCGCGUGUCUUAGUUUCGCUUUGCUCAUACAAUUAGGUCCUGAAAGCAACGAACGUGACCGCAACCUCUUGUUGCCUUUAUACCAAACAUGUUUAUUCAUUUUUUAAUGUUCAUUCAUGAAAAAAGGCUUUUUAAACUAGAGGGACCGCUGUUACUUUCUUAAACCAGAGGAAGGUUGCGGCAAUAACAGGUCUGUGAUGCCCUUAGAUGUUCCGGGCUGCACACGUGCUACAAUGAUUAUUGCAGUGAGCAUCUCAUUUUUACACACCGCAUGCGCGAGUCCAUUUAUUCACCUUCGGGUGUUUUAAAUGUGUACCUCUGCGCGCGGUAAAGCCUGCUUCGAAAGUAAGUGGGUAAUCAAUUAGAAGUAAUGAUUUCCUUUUUUAGCACACAUAUAUACGGCGUCUAUGCCCGGGUUACCUUGUUGUAGCUUUUGUGUGUAUAGAUGUUUUUUCCGUAUGUGCGAUUGUCAAUUCAUGGUGGGGACAGACCAUUGUUAAUUGUUGGUCUCGGUCUUAACUAGGAAUGCCUUGUACGGGUCUUUGGUUCAACAAACCACCCGGAAUACGUCCCUGCCCUUUGUACACACCGCCCGUCGCUCUUACCGAUGGACUUCUCUGUGAGUUUGAGGGACUGGGAACGCAGGAAUUUAUUUCUGCACACCUAUGGAAACUUAAACGAACAGUGUGGUCUAAAGGAAAGAGAAGUCGUACA
rnacentral:rRNA from 1 species